GGGCAAUCUGCCCUUCACUCUGGGACAAGCCCUGGAAACGGGGUCUAAUACCGGAUAUGACUACUGACCGCAUGGUCGGUGGUGGAAAGCUCCGGCGGUGAAGGAUGAGCCCGCGGCCUAUCAGCUUGUUGGUGGGGUGAUGGCCUACCAAGGCGACGACGGGUAGCCGGCCUGAGAGGGCGACCGGCCACACUGGGACUGAGACACGGCCCAGACUCCUACGGGAGGCAGCAGUGGGGAAUAUUGCACAAUGGGCGAAAGCCUGAUGCAGCGACGCCGCGUGAGGGAUGACGGCCUUCGGGUUGUAAACCUCUUUCAGCAGGGAAGAAGCGAAAGUGACGGUACCUGCAGAAGAAGCGCCGGCUAACUACGUGCCAGCAGCCGCGGUAAUACGUAGGGCGCAAGCGUUGUCCGGAAUUAUUGGGCGUAAAGAGCUCGUAGGCGGCUUGUCGCGUCGGAUGUGAAAGCCCGGGGCUUAACCCCGGGUCUGCAUUCGAUACGGGCAGGCUAGAGUGUGGUAGGGGAGAUCGGAAUUCCUGGUGUAGCGGUGAAAUGCGCAGAUAUCAGGAGGAACACCGGUGGCGAAGGCGGAUCUCUGGGCCAUUACUGACGCUGAGGAGCGAAAGCGUGGGGAGCGAACAGGAUUAGAUACCCUGGUAGUCCACGCCGUAAACGUUGGGAACUAGGUGUUGGCGACAUUCCACGUCGUCGUGCCGCAGCUAACGCAU
rnacentral:rRNA from 1 species